AGACAAUUCUAGAGACAAGUUGCCAAACAGCAAAGCGCCCCUCCAUCCGUAGCCAGAGGCCUCUCAAUCAGACAUGCAAGGGGGGCAAUUCCCCGAAUCGUCGUAUAGCGUAGCGGAGAAGUUCGCAGACGAGACGGUGAAGCUGCAACGUAUACACAGGCAGAGGGCGCACAGUCGUGGAAACCUGGAGAUAUUGAUAGACCCUGAAGAAAUGCUUAGGUUUAUGAGAGCUAAUUUUAACAAUUACAUAAGUACGACAUACUCUUUGCUGCACAUGGCGGAUGAUCCCGGGAGAAUUGAUGGCCCAUACGAAUGCGACGACAAGAAAAAACCAAGUACAUCCACCAUGGGGGAUUAUUUUUCCAAUGCCUUCUCCAAGGCCAACCAGUCCAAGAAGGGGAGAGGCCGAAGAGGAGGUUGAACAUUCAUCAUCACGAUCCAGCUGCCGAGGGAACUGAAUGGUUGAUACUGAGGAAACUGCAUGUUUACUUUUCUUCAAAGUUGGUGACUCGUGCCUGGGUCCUAGACCAACAGAACAUCUGCAUGUUUUUAAUUUUCUUCAAAGUUGGUGACUCGUGCCUGGGUCCUAGACCAACAGAACAUCCGCAUGUUUUUUCUUUUCUUCAAAGUUGGUGACUCGUGCCUGGGUACUAGACCAACAGAACAUCUGCAUGUUUACUUUUCUUCAAAGUUGGUGACUCGUGCCUGGGUCCUAGACCAACAUAACAGUUUGUUUCUUAAUUCGCAUCCCACUGUAACCGUAACCUGUAACACCGAUGCCUCCAUGGAUCAGCUUGAUUAUCUUUCAUCCUGAUUCC